CUCAGGUGUGCCCACCUCUGCCCUGGAGAGGGAGAAGGGGAGGAAGGAGGUGUGGUCCGGAGUCAUCCCCAGAGCACUCUCUGCAGCUCCACCUCUGGAUCCAGGAAAUCAUUUGGAUGCUGCCAAAGAAACAACUCUGUGUGUGGGCCUGUUUCCUGGGACCCAGCCCCGCAAGCCUCUGGAUGGACAUUCUCCUGGGAGUCCAUUUCCCAGGGUCCCUGGGGACUCUCCAAGGGUUGGGAGAGCCUGCAUAUUAAGCAUCAUGUUCUGGAGACCUGAAUACUCCAAGGGAGCUGAUUGGGACAGGCCAUUAAACUCUGGAAGGCAAGCUCUCAGCUUCCACCAGAUCCCCAGCUUUCCCCUGUUCCUCCCAAG
ensembl:lncRNA